rnacentral:rRNA from 1 species
CUACGGGGGGCACCAGUGGGGAAUAUUGGACAAUGGGCGAAAGCCUGAUCCAGCCAUGCCGCGUGGAUGAAGAAGGCCCUAGGGUUGUAAAGUCCUUUCGGUGGUGAAGAUAAUGACGGUAACCACAGAAGAAGCCCCGGCUAAUUUCGUGCCAGCAGCCGCGGUAAUACGAAAGGGGCUAGCGUUGUUCGGAAUUACUGGGCGUAAAGCGCACGUAGGCGGCCUUGUAAGUUGGGGGUGAAAUCCCGGAGCUCAACUCCGGAACUGCCUUCAAAACUACAAAGCUAGAGGAUGUGAGAGGAUAGUGGAAUUCCGAGUGUAGAGGUGAAAUUCGUAGAUAUUCGGAAGAACACCGGUGGCGAAGGCGACUGUCUGGCACAUUUCUGACGCUGAGGUGCGAAAGCGUGGGGAGCAAACAGGAUUAGAUACCCCCGUAGUC